GGCACGUGUUCCCUUUGCCUCUCGGUGCUGUUUGCUGUCUUUCAUAACAGUUGUAUUAGAUCAGAAUGUAGAGACUAUUCCUUCCCCCACAUACCAUUUUUUGUUUUUGUGAGUCUGGUAGACAUUUGCAUGGGUUUUAUGGCUUCUGACCUGACCAAACUGGAGUGAGAAAAUGUAUACCUGCUUCUCAAAAUGAGUUUUCCCUUUGUGUCCAUGUACUAACUAAGGGUACAGAUCCAAUGAAAACAUCAGUCAUACAACAGUCCAUAAAGCAUUUUUUAACUUACAUUCUAGUCACGGUAUGCCAGUUUAUUUAAAAAAACUGCCUUAAAUCAUUGGGCCAAAUCCUAUAGUCCUUAUUCCUUACUCGAGCAGUGAAGUCAGUGAGAAUAUGGCCUAGGUAAGGGUUGCAAGUUUACGCUUAUAGUGACUAUCUGGCUUGUAAUUCUAUUAGUACAAGAAGCAUACAUCUUAACCUCUUCUAUCAGAGUCUGGCUUUGUAGUAGUUAAAGUAAUUGUCAUGAAAAGAUCUCUCUCUUUUUGGUAACCAAACAAAAUCUCAUAGACCCAAAUAUCAUUUUCAUUUUAGUAAAUUAUAAAGAUAGGGGGAGGAAAUCUGGUAUAGAUAAACUGGAGUCAAAUUGAAGUACUGCCUUCCCUCCCCGGAAGGAACAGAACUUUUGUUUAAUGCACAUUUCAGACAGCUUAGAGACCCUUGACAAAGGGAAAGUGUCAAAAUAUUUGUUUAUAGGGACAAAGGCUAAAGUUACUCUAAUAUAAUCUGUUACAGAAAAGAUCAGGGAACAGAAAUAACAUUAAAACAACGAGGAGUCCAGUGGCACCUUAAAGACUAACAGAUUUAUUUGGCCAUAAGCUUUCAAAAGCUUAUGGCCAAAUAAAUCUGUUAGUCUUUAAGAUGCCACUGGACUCCUCAUGGUUUUUGUGGAUACAGACUAAUAUGGCUACCCCACUUGACAACAUUACAACUGUUUGCCUAAACUACAAAUCUGCAUCUUUGGAUACCUUUACACCAAAAUACAAGUUAUUCUAAUGCCUUGAUAGACACUGAAAGUCAAAUGAUCUAUUUUACACAAAUUUAAAAUGAAAUUCAGUUAAUUUUGAUACUUGCGAGACUUACAAGCUGCACUGAUUUCUUUAUGCAACUUGUGGGUGCUCAAAUGCAUCAGUUAAACCUUGCAAAAACUCUUUAAAUAAAACCCUUCUUUUUAGAAGACACACUAAACUAUGGGAAAGAAUCAGUGGUAUACAUUGAAGUUAGAGAACGGCACCAAAAGAUAUCGCCAUAAACAUACCAUAAUAACAAAAUGGAAGAGCAUAGCAUGUUCAGUGACAAACACUCAGGAAGAAUUUUAUACCACCUUUCCAGUACCAUUUUGACAGAACCAAAUAGUAAAGAAAAUUUAAAAAAAAACAAAAAAAAAAAACUCUUGCACAUCUGUGUCCUGACCUUUCCUUCUGUAUAACUUGAAAAAUCCUGCUAUACAUUAUUUUCUAUCUUGAAAGUGAGUUUCCCCUCACACACCCAUGUUUAAAUUCAAUUGUGCAAGUGUCCUGCUGGGGUUGGUGGGGGAGCCAUGAAAUGGGAUUCCUAUCAUUAUUUGAUCACUCAUUUAUAGCAGUUGCUUAAAUGUCUGUAUUGAUAUGAAGGUGUUUGACUUUAAAAAAAAAAAAAAAUAGGUUGCCAGAUUUCUAGUAAUUUCAAAACUUUUUGAGCAAAAAUGUUAAAGCGAUUAUGUUCUGGUAGACUUAAUUUCACAUUGAAAAGGUUAAAUUCUUAACUUAUUUUAACAAUUCAUUAAGGUUAGUCUGCAUUUACAAAGGGCUAAAUGUCUUUUCUAGUACUAUAACUUAUUCUAACAGGACUCAGUUUCAUUAGUAUAUAUUGAUACAAGAUGACAAUCUUUCAAUGAGCAUACUGUUAAGAAUUUUUUCAAAAUUCUUAAAUCCAAAAGAACUAGGAGAUAGCCACACAAAUGUGAUUUUUGUAUUUAUAGACACCUGGUUAUAUUUUUGCCCCCUCUGCAUUUGGACCCCAUUAUCUAAGCCCGUUUAUUGUAUUUUGAAUAAUAAUAAAAAGGUAAACACUCUUGCUAUAAGGCUAGUAAUAAAACAAAGCAAAGUAUCGCGAGGGAAUGUUAGUUUAGUAUAGAAGUAGUAUUACACUAAGCACCCAAUCCUGGAGUCCUAAUGCAAACAAAACCUCGGUUCAUUUCAACAGGAGUUUUGCUUGGUGAAGUACUACAAGAUUGGGUUUUUACUGUUUUCCUAUAUGUAGGUCAAAUCCUGAAAAUUUCCUAUCUGUAAUCUUUUCUAACUCAUUGACUUACAUAGAACAAUUUGUAUGAGUAAGGCUACUUGAAUUACUACAGCUUGCAAAAUUGGGCUCUCAAUCACUCAAAUGAACUAUUUGUGAGAGUGGCCAAGAGCCUUAUAGAAAGAGUGCACUGGGUGAUGCGUGUUUUCCUAUUGCUCUAAAAAAUGGGAGCUUCUGUUAACUUAAGACUUGUAUGAAGCUGCUUUGUGUGUAAUGAAUUGGCUUGCUUAAUCUGUCUGGACAAAGUCUAGAGUUACAAACUGGUAUAUUUUAAUUUAGCAUCUAAAAUCUAUUGCGUAGAAAAGAGUAUCUCAAUCUUUAAAAUGAAAAUCUUGAUUGUAGUUUUUAUUUAUUUUUUUUUUUAAAGCAAAACUUUACAUGGGCAAGGUAUAUCUGUCAAAUAACUGAGUAUCGGUCAGGAACCUGUGAAAUUUAACGUAGUUGAGUCCCUCUGGAGAAAUAUUUUAACAUCUUGUUUGGAGGUUACCAGAAGCUCUGAGUGACAAAUCAGAAUAUAUUGCAUCAUAUUUUCUGAUGUUAUCCAGAAACCUGUAAGUGUCCCUUUCCUGUUUUAACUCCUUCCUUUUAUUACCUGACUAUCAGGGAAGCGUGGUUGAGGCUGCCCUGACCUGACAUGUCAUGAUGUCGACUUGCUAGGUGGGGUUCGCAGGGGACAUUAACCAUUGGAAUUGUCGGAUAUUCAUCAGAUGCUACAAAUCUAGAUGUAUGAACAGAGUGUGAAGUGAAUGGGAAGCAGCUGAAACCAGGAUAAGAUCUAAAGAACAAUGCAAGAAGAGCUAGGAACACAUUUUUAGCUGUCUAGAGGUAGUAUGGUCUGGAGCAAUGAACAUUAGUUGGAAUUAAGGACUUGGUCUGCCACUGAUUUGCUCUGUGGCCUUUGACAAGUCACUUCACUUCUGUGCCUCAUUUUCACCAUCUGUAGAAUGGGAAUAAUGCAGGGGUCUCAAACAAGCCACUGGGCUAUUUCCUACGGCCUGCCAAGCGGCUCCUUUUUCCCCCCUUCCCCCGACCUACCUCCAGGCCGGGGGGGG